UUGAAUAUUAUGUAUUCAGGUGCCUAUUUAAAAUUAGGUGAAAAGGGAAUGCGGUUAAAUUCCGCGGCAGCCCCCGCUACUGUAAGUGAUGACGAGCCUUUCAUAUCCACUCUUUAAUAAAGGGGAAGGGAAGGGUAAGAGUGAUUCAUAAGCCAGGAAACCUGCCUGUGUACUUUUAAGAGC
rnacentral:ncRNA from 2 species